GAGUGUGUUGUGGGAGGGGGUGGGGAGCUGGAGCAAAGAGGGCCGGGGAGGUGGGGGAGAGAGAGACUGGAGCAACUUAUGUGCACAGCCUUUCCAUAUACUAUGUCCUGGUGUGCCUGCUAGUAAACGGCAGCAUCAGAAGGGAGGAACUGCAGCUCCUCAUGUCCUGCUUAAGGAUGGUCCAGAAACCCCAGAUGUCUUGUCGCCUUUUCGCCUCCUCCACUGAGAGCAGCAGAUCAGUUCACGUUGACAGAUUAGAGGGGAAGUGUGCAAUUGUUUAUGGCUUCAGCUGUACAUAAAGGAGCCCUGGUAGCUUCUGCUGAGACUUUUCAGUAGAAAAUCCUUCAAAAAAGAAAAAAGAAAGAAAGAAGCAGCUAUUUUGAAGACUGACUUUCUAAAAUUAUAUUUAGCCUCCCAAUAGAUACCAGAUCGCGGAUGCCCUGUCCCAAGCAUAAAUCCCGUCCUGUUUACCAAUCCCUCAAAACCUUCAUGACCUUCAUAUUUAACGGGCAUUUUCAAGGAUCUGGCAAGACUGCCGGUUUGGUAAUGCAAGGCAGAAGAUAGUUUUCUCCAUGCCAUGGGGUGCAUGGCUUCUAGCUGCUUUGGUCUCUCAUCUCAUCCUAGCAGCCCUUCUACCAUCAAAGAAAGAAGGUUUCUUCCCCUUUGGCUCCAUCCUAUAAACAGUCUCAAGAAUGACUUACACUGGAUCAGCAGAGGUUGCAUACUCCUUCCCCAACCAGACACCAAGCCAGGAAGAUGGGGUCAUAUCCCAAUGUAUUAGCUAUAGAGUAAAAACUUAAAUUUAUUUCUUAACAUGCAUGCCUUUUAAUAGAGAGACUUGUAAACACUUGGGUACUGUCUUACAAAAAGCAGAACUCUCUAAAGAGGGUGACUGGAGGCUGACGCAGAACGACAUCCUGUUGUAUGAGAAAGUCCUGGGGGAAUUUACUCUUCUAACAGCUUGCUUAAUGCUUUUGCUUCCUGUGGAGUGGGCUGGGGUGGGAAUUUAAAGCAGACUUCUAAAUUGAGUUCUGCAGUGGAGGAACUUCUCUUAAAAUCUCUGCUGGAGUUACUUAAGACAUUGAACUGUCGGGGUGCCUGGAUGACUCAGUCAUUUAAGCGUCUAACUCUUGAU